UACGUAGGGUGCAAGCGUUGUCCGGAAUUAUUGGGCGUAAAGAGCUCGUAGGCGGUCUGUCGCGUCGGCUGUGAAAUCCCGAGGCUCAACCUCGGGUCUGCAGUCGAUACGGGCAAACUGGAGUGUUGCAGGGGAGACUGGAAUUCCUGGUGUAGCGGUGAAAUGCGCAGAUAUCAGGAGGAACACCGGUGGCGAAGGCGGGUCUCUGGGCAGCAACUGACGCUGAGGAGCGAAAGCGUGGGGAGCGAACAGG
rnacentral:rRNA from 1 species